UACAGAGGGGGCAAGCGUUGUUCGGAAUUACUGGGCGUAAAGGGCGCGUAGGCGGCCUUCUAAGUCGAACGUGAAAUCCCUCGGCUCAACCGAGGAACUGCGUCCGAUACUGGUGGGCUUGAAUCCGGGAGAGGGAUGUGGAAUUCCAGGUGUAGCGGUGAAAUGCGCAGAUAUCAGGAGGAACACCGGUGGCGAAGGCGGCUUGCUGGGCCAGUUCUGACGCUGAGGAGCGAAAGCGUGGGGAGCGAACAGG
rnacentral:rRNA from 1 species